rnacentral:ncRNA from 1 species
CAGGCCGGCGGGUAAAAGGGAAACAGGUGUGAUUCCUGUACGAUCUCGUCACUGUGACAGGGGAGUAUAUGACAGAGUCCCUGGAGGGACAGUCACUGGCUUUGGCCGGGAAGGCAGUCAUAUACGAAGAUCCUCCAGCCAGGAAACCUGCCGGCCGUAAU